AUUUCUUAGAUUAAAAAGUAAAUAAACGUGGUAAAAUACAAUGAAAUAUUCAAUAAAAGCAUGCGAAUCGUUGAUAGAAACAGAAAUAGAAAGAUUGUGUUAAUGCCUCACCUACUAAGCUACUAGUCAAG